rnacentral:rRNA from 1 species
AACGAACGCUGGCGGCAUGCCUAACACAUGCAAGUCGAACGAGACCUUCGGGUCUAGUGGCGCACGGGUGCGUAACGCGUGGGAACCUGCCCUUAGGUUCGGAAUAACUCUCCGACAGGGGUGCUUAUACCGGAUAAUGUCUUCGGACCAAAGAUUUUUUGCCUUUGGAUGGGCCCGCGUUGGAUUAGCUAGUUGGUUGGGUAAAAGCCUACCAAGGCGACGAUCCAUAGCUGGUCUGAGAGGAUGAUCAGCCACACUGGGACUGAGACACGGCCCAGACUCCUACGGGAGGCAGCAGUGGGGAAUAUUGGACAAUGGGCGAAAGCCUGAUCCAGCAAUGCCGCGUGAGUGAUGAAGGCCUUAGGGUUGUAAAGCUCUUUUACCCGGGAUGAUAAUGACAGUACCGGGAGAAUAAGCUCCGGCUAACUCCGUG